ACUCCUACGGGAGGCAGCAGUAGGGAAUCUUCCACAAUGGGCGCAAGCCUGAUGGAGCAACACCGCGUGAGUGAAGAAGGGUUUCGGCUCGUAAAGCUCUGUUGUUAAAGAAGAACACGUAUGAGAGUAACUGUUCAUACGUUGACGGUAUUUAACCAGAAAGUCACGGCUAACUACGUGCCAGCAGCCGCGGUAAUACGUAGGUGGCAAGCGUUAUCCGGAUUUAUUGGGCGUAAAGAGAGUGCAGGCGGUUUUCUAAGUCUGAUGUGAAAGCCUUCGGCUUAACCGGAGAAGUGCAUCGGAAACUGGAUAACUUGAGUGCAGAAGAGGGUAGUGGAACUCCGUGUGUAGCGGUGGAAUGCGUAGAUAUAUGGAAGAACACCAGUGGCGAAGGCGGCUACCUGGUCUGCAACUGACGCUGAGACUCGAAAGCAUGGGUAGCGAACAGGAUUAGAUACCCUGGUAGGAUAGCG
rnacentral:rRNA from 1 species